GUCGGGCAUCCGUUCUGUCUAACGACAAGAAGAAGGGGAGGCGCAUUGCUGCUAUCGCGGCUCGUUCGAGUGAUGAAGUGAGUGCAGAGUGAGGCCUAUUUUUGUGCUCACCGACAAACAGCCUCGUAGAUCUCGUGACACAUCGUUAGAGCACCACGAAAAUAUCUUCCACGCGGACGAAAAGUGUUGCGGCAUAUCCAACUAUCGGCUACUACGUUUAUUCCAAGGGAUUACCAGCUGUCUUCCUUCGUGGCAACCGACUAAGUGGCGGGGAACUAAUGAUAAACACGACUCUUCGCGGCUAUAAGAGGAAAUUAAUGUUCCGGACGUAACGGUAAAUGGAGUAGAAAGAAGACAAGAAACUGUGAGAUAAAUGGUGCUUGGUUUGUCGAAGAAUGGUAUUACCUUUUACAAAAGCUUGACGAAUCAGGAGCUUUCAGAAAAUUGAAAAUGGUUGCAACUUGGAAGAUGUGCAGCGAAACGAAAUUUGAAUUGAUCGCCUCACCUCACGGAGAGUAAAUGCGCAAGGAAGUGAUUGCGAAUGAUGGACGGCCGGGUGCCGAGGGAUGAUAAAGUAGUAGCGUGUGGUAGAGCAUAUCGACGGGAAGCACCCCCAUCUAUCAGCCCCUUUCCACUUCACGGAUAAUCACCGGCUGCCAACCAAAGUCAGACUACAAGUAAGAUCUUACAGCGUGAUCUAAGUCUACUUCGGCCGAUCUAAAAAGAUUACAUCGUGUUGUAUCGAAGAUGUUAUCGCGUAAGAAAAAUAGGAGAUCGAAUCAAAAGAAUUUCUACUAUCUCUCAAAUACCAAGUAAUAUUUUAGGAAUGUAGAUAAAUGAAGUUAUUUUACAAGUA